rnacentral:rRNA from 1 species
UACGUAGGGACCAAGCGUUGUUCGGAUUUACUGGGCGUAAAGAGCGCGCAGGCGGCCAAGUCAGUCGAAUGUGAAAGCCCCCGGCUUAACUGGGGAGGGUCAUUCGAUACUGCUCGGCUCGAAGACAGGAGAGGGAAGCGGAAUUCCCGGUGUAGUGGUGAAAUGCGUAGAUAUCGGGAGGAACACCAGUGGCGAAGGCGGCUUUCUGGCCUGUUCUUGACGCUGAGGCGCGAAAGCUAGGGGAGCAAACGGG